rnacentral:rRNA from 1 species
CACGGGUAGGGCGCAAGCGUUGUCCGGAAUUAUUGGGGCGUAAAGAGCUCGUAGGCGGUCUGUUGCGUCCGACCUGUGAAAACUCGGGGGCUUAACCCCGAGCCUGCAGUGGAUACGGGCAGGACUAGAGGGUAGGGUAGGGGAGAAUGGAAUUCCCGGUGUAGCGGUGAAAUGCGCAGAUAUCGGGAGGAACACCGGUGGCGAAGGCG